rnacentral:lncRNA from 1 species
UAAUUAUUACAAGUGGAUCAUAUCCGUCUUCAUAUUCUAUGAUGAGUUUGUUUACAACCACCUGGUCGAUGUCACUGCUGGUGGAGUUUUUUCCCCCGAGGAUGUCACCAGACCAGUAGCCAGCACUUCUAUGUUGACAUAGUCAUAAUUAUAAAGUAACUGUUUACAAAACUUUGAAUUUUUGAAAUACUAAGGCAUUUCGACCUCAGGAAUAGAUUACCUUAGCUGUAUUCGGCAAAACGUUUAGGAAUGUUUGGUCCUCAAUGCUCUUUAACUUCGUACUUUAUUAGGCC